rnacentral:rRNA from 1 species
AUACGGAGGGUGCAAGCGUUAAUCGGAAUUACUGGGCGUAAAGGGUGCGUAGGUGGUUAUGUAAGUUAUCUGUGAAAUCCCCGGGCUCAACCUGGGCAGGUCAGAUAAGACUGUGUAACUCGAGUAUAGGAGAGGGUAGUGGAAUUUCCGGUGUAGCGGUGAAAUGCGUAGAGAUCGGAAGGAACACCAGUGGCGAAGGCGGCUACCUGGCCUAAUACUGACACUGAGGCACGAAAGCGUGGGGAGC